rnacentral:misc_RNA from 1 species
CCUACGCGAGCGCGAUUACGGCGAUGACCAGCGGAGGGAUCAUUACCGAGUUUACAACUCCCAAACCCAAUGUGAACGUUACCAAACUGUUGCCUCGGCGGGAUCUCUGCCCCGGGUGCGUCGCAGCCCCGGACCAAGGCGCCCGCCGGAGGACCAACCAAAACUCUUAUUGUAUACCCCCUCGCGGGUUUUUUUAUAAUCUGAGCCUUCUCGGCGCCUCUCGUAGGCGUUUCGAAAAUGAAUCAAAACUUUCAACAACGGAUCUCUUGGUUCUGGCAUCGAUGAAGAACGCAGCGAAAUGCGAUAAGUAAUGUGAAUUGCAGAAUUCAGUGAAUCAUCGAAUCUUUGAACGCACAUUGCGCCCGCCAGUAUUCUGGCGGGCAUGCCUGUCCGAGCGUCAUUUCAUCUCUCGAAUCCCUCCGGGGGGUCGGCGUGGGGGAUCGUCCUUUCCCCGGCAACGGACGGGUCCCAAUAGAAAAUUAAAGUGGUUUUUAUAUCUAUGGAAAAGCAAACAAAAUCUAUGUAGUCCAAAAGGGAUCCUUACGAAAUCGCGGAUUUGUAUAGUUACUUCAAUUUCAAGAAAACAGAAUCUUUAGGAAAUCUUAUUGUCUAUAACUUGACACUAACCCCAAAAAGGAUUCUUAUUGAACAUUCAAAUUACGAUUGUCUUUAUUCAACAUUUUUUUAUGUUUUAUAAAAAUAUCGCCAUUGAAUUGACUCUUUCAAUCUCGACGAUUAAAGAUGAAUAGGCUAUUAUGAUUUCAAACAAGCCGCUAUGGUGAAAUUGGUAGAACCCUUUUUUGAAAGGAAAGCCCCCCCCCUCUCCAAACCCCCGCCCCCCCCCUCCGCCCAACCCCCAU